rnacentral:rRNA from 1 species
CCUACGGGAGGCUGCAGUGGGGAAUAUUGCACAAUGGGGGAAACCCUGAUGCAGCGACGCCGCGUGAGCGAAGAAGUAUUUCGGUAUGUAAAGCUCUAUCAGCAGGGAAGAAAAUGACGGUACCUGAGUAAGAAGCCCCGGCCAAAUACGUGCCAGCAGCCGCGGUAAUACGUAAGGAGGAAGCGUUAUCCGGAUUUUCUGGGGGUAAAGGGAGCGGAGGUGGGUUAGCAAGUCUUAUGUGAAAGGCCCGGGGUCAAACCCGGGUGUGCAUUGGAUACCGUGGGGAUGGAGUGUCUGAGAGGCAAGCGGAAUUACUGGUGUAGCGGUGAAAUGCGUAGAUAUUAGGAGGAACACCAGUGGCGAAGGCGGCCUACUGGACGAUGACUGACGCUGAGGCUCGAAAGCGUGGGGAGCAAACAGGAUUAGAUACCCCAGUAGUC